rnacentral:lncRNA from 1 species
GCAAAUGCUGUUCUACUAAAUUGAAGUCAUUUGAAAAUGGCUGUUUGGGUCAGGGAAAGACCCUCAACCAUUUCCCUGCUGAUCUGCACCUGAACCCAACGGUGAAGAGAAAGAGACAGAGAUAGUGAAGUAAACAGAAGCCUGUUAAUUACUUUUUAAAGCUGGUGAGAAUGUUGUUGACCGGUUGCAGCUGAAAAGCAAUAAGAUCUGUGGAUAAUCAUCCUUUAUCUCCUUCUGGCCUCAUAAGCACAGAUACUUGAGAAGGGUCUGUGAUAUUAGUUAACACUCUAAAUUUAUCACAUAUUCACGUUAAGAAGAGUUUAAUGCAUUUUUUUCAGUGUGACAUUGUGAUGGGAUUCAUAAUAAGAAAUAUGUAUUUGAGCUUCGACCUGGUUCCUGGCACAGAGCUCCUAAAACCCUUGGAAUUUCUUAAGAGAUGAGAGCGACAAAGGUGUCUUGUUAUGCUAAUGAGGUGACUUUUGGAAGCUUCUAAGUAUGGGGGGAGUGAUUAGAGAAUUGAAACUUUGAUUCUGACACCCUGACCUUCAGGAAGGAGAGAGGGGUUGGAGGUUGAGUCAAUCACCAAUGGCCAAAGAGUCAAGUAAUCACACCUGUGUGAUGAAGCCUGCAUAAAAACCCAAAAGGACAGUGUUUAGAGAACGUCCUGGUUUGUGGAUAUGCGGAGGUGCUGGGAGACUGGUGCUCCGGGAUAGGGCUUGGAAGCUCCAUGUGCCUUUCCACAUACCUUGCCCUACAAAUCUCUUCCAUGUGGAUGUUCAUCUGUAUCCUGUAUCAUAUCCUUUUAUAACAAACUGCUGAAGUCAAGAAACUGGGCCACAGCCAAGCACACAUGCCUGAUGAGCGACAGAGGUGAUGCCAUCUGACUGCAGAGCGCAAGAGCCAAACCUUUGCACUAGUCACCCUCCUGACUCCAGGAGCAAACUAUGGCAUGCUCCUUUUUAAAGAAAGUAUGAGACUUUUCAGGAGGUAUUUUUCCUGGAUAUAUAAAUCAAUUCCAUUCAUAGCAAAGUGGCUUCAGAGAUGACUGCAAAGUAAAUUUUCCAUCACCCAAGCCUCUCCUUCCUUGACGCAAGGGGGCUCCAGUCUGCUCUGGACUUGCAGUGGACGCAUCACAUCGGCCAACUCUUUGAAGGUCACAUGGUUUCUGCGCUCAGCAAGAGUUCAGGAAACUCUUCAAUGUGGACACAAUGAUUAAUUUAAUCUUAGAGUUCAAAGGCUGCUUCUAUUAUUUUGAGUAAGUGACAGAACAAAAGAGUGCAGUAAAAAAAAAAAAGAAAAGAAAAAAAGUGAAGGAAUGGGAUCAAGAAUCUCUGGCAAUGCACAGAAUGUUCCAGAGAAGGCUCUGCACUCAGGUUAGGCCUGACCGUGUGUAGACUCUGCCCCUGCAGACGCAUCUGUGCAUUUAAGGCCACAAAAUGUUAAGAGACACUGGCCACUUUAAAUCUCUCAUUCAAAUAUUACCAACUUCCAGCUAAGAAUUUCUCUUUUCCAUUUUCUUAGCUCCUUUUAAACACUUUCAGCAUUGGUUAUUGGUUUGGGACAAUAACAUUGAAAUGGCCUUCCUUUGUAGAGAUGUCAGGAAUCUGCCAGGAUUUUCAGGGACUUCCUGCUCUCCAGCAGUGGUUUUAAAUUUUUCCUUUGUUUUUGUAUGUUGGUUUGCUUUUAAUCCAAACUGCAUCAUGUGGCUUGUCAGCUAAAUGGGUUAUCGCUAUCUGGUGUUUUGUUCUUAAUGAUUCUCCGUGGCAUCCUUUCCAUUCUCCCUCCCCGCUCACCCGAAGUUAAUAACAGGAGAACUCUAAACAAAUGAGCCGCUAUUCCCAGGGACCGUUUCUGCCAGCAUUAGAUUAUUUUUGUAUUGUGUGAGCUUGUUGCCUAGCAGGCUUUUAUUUUCAGUAACCACAGUUUUUGUUGUUUCUUGAUUUCAUAGAUGGUAAAAAAGAAAGCAAUUUUGGAUUACAUGCAGAAAAAACUGUCUUUAAAAUCCUCAGUUACAUAGUAUAUAAUUUCCUCUAAAAUUCUUAUUGUGAAACACAGAGAGCCUUUUAAUGGAAGCAAUCACAGGUGCUUUAAUGGAAAGCCUAUAGAAAAGGGAGAUUUUAUAGGCGGAAUCGCUUCUCUUCAGACCCCUUUAAGUUCAGUGGGCGAACUAACCACAAGGCUUUGAUUUCACCCUGUGGAAAAUCAUUUUCCCCAACUGUUUAUUCGCUUGGAAAAGCCUCUAACAAUGGACAAUGACUUUUAACCAAUGGAGAGGUUUUUGGUUGAACCCUAUGAAAUAGCUGGUUUUUGCAGGUCAAAAAUGGUGGAACAUCAGUAAUUUUGUAGAAUCUAACUUAAGACUCAAAAUGAUAGAAGUUAAAAAAAAUAUAUAGAGUGACCUAGAUCCAUACAAAGACCGGGAGAAGUGGGAGAGAAGGAUCUGAAGGGUAACACAGAGCACCUGGGCAGCGGGGGUCUGAUUCUCCAUACGGGAGCUCUUGUGCAUUGGUUCAGAAUUUACUGCUGCCCGCUCU